rnacentral:rRNA from 1 species
AUUGAACGCUGGCGGCAUGCUUUACACAUGCAAGUCGAACGGUAACAGGUUAAGCUGACGAGUGGCGAACGGGUGAGUAAUGCAUCGGAACGUGCCCGAUCGUGGGGGAUAACGCAGCGAAAGCUGCGCUAAUACCGCAUACGAUCUGAGGAUGAAAGCGGGGGACCGUAAGGCCUCGCGCGAUCGGAGCGGCCGAUGUCAGAUUAGGUAGUUGGUGGGGUAAAGGCCCACCAAGUCGACGAUCUGUAGCUGGUCUGAGAGGACGACCAGCCACACUGGGACUGAGACACGGCCCAGACUCCUACGGGAGGCAGCAGUGGGGAAUUUUGGACAAUGGGCGAAAGCCUGAUCCAGCAAUGCCGCGUGCAGGAAGAAGGCCUUCGGGUUGUAAACUGCUUUUGUACGGAGCGAAAAGGUCCUUUCUAAUACAGGGGGCUCAUGACGGUACCGUAAGAAUAAGCACCGGCUAACUACGUGCCAGCAGCCGCAGUAA